GUUUCGUCACGUAAUUUUGGUUGCCGCGUGUGAGGCAAAGAAGGCGUACAGAAACGCGAGGUGUCAAUUAUAACAAUCUAACCCGUAUUAGAUACACAAAUAAUUAUAAUGAAAAAAACAAAAAACAAAAUAAAGCUAUACUCCCGAGAAUUUGCUGCUUGAACGCACGCUCAAUUAAUGGAAAGGUUGAUGAACUUGCAGCAUUUAUGUCCGUCAACAAAGUUCAUAUAGCCGCAAUUACGGAGUCUUGGUUGACUGAUACAACUGUAGGGGACGAUCAAAUAUCGAUUGGUGGUUAUGUAAUUCAUCGUAAGGACCGGACACAUGGCCGUGGGGGUGGGGUUUGCGUUUAUGUGUCUCAGCAGAUAUCCAUUACGCGAUACUUGGAAUUAGAAGAUUUAAAUCUAGAGUGUAUGUGGUUGUGGGCUCGACCACCACGCCUACCGAGACCGCUAUCUGCAAUCGCAGUAUGUGUAGUGUAUAAUCCACCGGACAAAAGUGUGCAAGAACAGAGGGAACUUUGCGAUUACCUUGUGUCCUCUAUUGAUACUAUACGCUCUAAAUACCCUGAUUGUGGCAUAGUCGUUUUAGGCGAUUUUAAUCGUCUCAAUAUACAGGAUUUAGUUACAAGUCACAACCUUAAGCAAGUCGUCACGCGUCCGACUCAUAGAUAUCUUAUAUAAACUAGAUAGCGCAUCUCUUUUAGUAAAAUUGAAGCCAAGAAUAUCCCAGCGGUUACCCCCAUUUGAAUAGAUGGCGGCCAUGUUGGAGCUUCCCACUCGCUAAUAAACGCU